rnacentral:lncRNA from 1 species
AAGUCCAUUGGAUUUGUUUGAGGGUUGCCAAUUCUAAAUAUGGGCUUGAAGUUUUGAAAAGGUGCAUAUAUUUGUAGGUAUUAAGUGUUUGACUAUUUUGACUUUUGAGUUGACUUUGCAUAUGAAUAGGAAUUUUGAAGUUUUGAUUUGAGCUACCCCCCUAUUUUAAGGGUCUAGGAAUCUAGUGAUGGUCUUGAAAUCCUAUACAUGUUUUUCAAUUUUGAGAUAUAAGGCGUUUGACUUGAUACAAUUUUCUGUUGACUUUUUGUAUACUUUAUUGUUUUGAAUUUUUGAUUUGACCUACCCCCCUAUUUAUCAUGCUUCUGAUUCCAAUGGUAUGUUUAAAAUUUUCAGCAAGUUUAUAGUUUAGGAGAUAUGAGAUUUUCAAAAUAGCAAAAUUUGCCUUUCAUUAAUAUA